UCUUGGGUUUUACAUAGCUACAUCUUCGUGUCCAUUAUGAGAGUCUUCAUGGUAUAUGGAUUUUGAUUAUCUUAUCUUAUGUGUCUGAUUGUUUAUCUAUUUUAAUCUAAAGGUAAAGGUAUUGCUCUUGCGGCAGCUCUCGGCAAAGCUAGAGCCUGCAAUGGAGUCCUCAUGUUACAAAGCAAUCCAGGAUUCUCGCUCAUGUCAAUCCUCUCUCCAGGAACAGGGGAACUCCAUGAGAAGCAAUGCAACAAAUUUCCCAUCACCAAUGUCAUCAAGUUCAUGCUGAGCUGUGCCGCUGGACACAUCCGUCUUCCUGAUCCAAAUGGAAGAACCCUAAAGUCUCGACCUUUAACAUCGGUUUCUUCCUGAAGGAACCGCUCUGGUCUGAACUCAUAUGGGUUUAUCCAGUUUGCAGGGUCCCGCCCAAUCGCCUGCACAUUGACAUAAACUGUGGCUCCCUUAGGAACCUUGUACCCACCUACCCAAACAGUUUCACUUGCUUUGUGUGGAAGCAUUAAUGGUGUUGACGGGUGAAGCCGGAGAGCUUCUUUAACCACACAUUGCAGAUAUGGCAGUAUGGGGAUAUCUGAUUCAGUCAUUAACCUUUCGGAUCCAACCACAGAAUCAAGCUCCUGUUGCGCCUUUUCUUGCACGGUCGGGCAUUUGAUCAUCUCUGCCAUAGCCCAUUCGAUAACAACUGCAGUUGUGUCAGCACCCGCGGUUAACAUGUUCCAGACUAGUCCCCCAACCGUCUCUUCGCUCAGCUCUUUCUGCUCUUUUAACACCAACAAUUUCCGAACAAAUCCCCUGUGAUCCUCUAUUUCUAUAUCUUCUUCCACCAUAAUAGCUCCUCUAAACCACUUUGUUCUCCGAUCCUUGUGCGCUAAGAAUUCCUUAUCACUAAAGAACCAAGAAGAAACCCAUUUGAGCCACCAGACGUGAUCAAGAAUCGUCCCUGAGCCACUGAGAAGAUGUUCUUUCUCAACGAUGGCUUUAAACUCUUUUCCUUCCUCAGACCCGAACUCUUUCCCUAUCAUUAACCUUGAGAUGGUAUUCAAAACAACCGCAGCUAGGUACUUCCUCACAAUCACCGGUUUUCGCUCCUGAUCAUCCCCUGAAUUGCUCAUUAAGUCCUUCAGAAUCGACACAACCAUCGAUCUUGCUUCCAUCUCUCUCAAGGACCUGAAAUUUUCGAUGCUUUUCAGAGAGAAGAGCUCGAGUGUACAGAGUUUCCUCAGUUUCACAUAAUGUGGACUGUAAUCGGACCAAACAAGAUCAGUACCGGUCUGAGUCAUCCUUGCGAUCCUGUGUCGGUUAGACAACUGAUGGUCUUUGUCUCUCAACACUUGUCUGGCUAGAUCAGAGCUCGAGACCACGACAGUGAGCUGUGACCCUAUCCACACCGAUAUGAUAGGACCAUAAGUCUCUGACCACUCCGAGAAAGAAUGCGUCCAAAGUGGUUUCAUUUGAUGAAGGUUUCCAAGCAGAAACUUUGGUUUUGGUCCCGGCGGUAUGUUGGAUCUCCACCAUCGUUGAUAAAGCAUGAGGGUGGCGACGAUGAUAGGGAGUAAUGAAAUUAGAUAUAUAAUCAUUUUUGCUUCGACGAUGUGAAACAACAGUUAUUGAUGUAAGUUUGAUGUACAUUGUAACAUCUACCUUACACUGAAGUUUUUAUACGCAAACUGUAAAACAUAGAAGAAAGUUUUUGAUAUUUACUUACGUAAGUGUAGAGAAACACAACUUUGGUAUGCGCAUGAAAAUACCAUGGUUUGGC
rnacentral:lncRNA from 1 species